UUCGACCUGAACUCAGACGUGAAU
rnacentral:rRNA from 1 species